GUACUCACUUCAGCAGCACAUGUACUAAAACUUGAAUGAUAGAGAAGAUUAGCACGGCCCCAUAUGCAAGAAUGACAUACAAAUUCCUGAAGUGUUUCAUAUUUUU
ensembl:snRNA U6 U6 spliceosomal RNA